rnacentral:rRNA from 1 species
AGCGAACGCUGGCGGCAGGCCUAACACAUGCAAGUCGAACGAACUCUUCGGAGUUAGUGGCGGACGGGUGAGUAACACGUGGGAACGUGCCCUUAGGUUCGGUAUAACUCAGGGAAACUUGUGCUAAUACCGAAUGUGCCCUUCGGGGGAAAGAUUUAUCGCCUUUAGAGCGGCCCGCGUCUGAUUAGCUAGUUGGUGAGGUAAAGGCUCACCAAGGCGACGAUCAGUAGCUGGUCUGAGAGGAUGAUCAGCCACAUUGGGACUGAGACACGGCCCAAACUCCUACGGGAGGCAGCAGUGGGGAAUCUUGCGCGAUGGGCGAAAGCCUGACGCAGCCAGGCCGCGUGAAUGAUGAAGGUCUUAGGAUUGUAAAAUUCUUUCACCGGGGACGAUAAUGACGGUACCCGGAGAAGAAGCCCCGGCUAACUUCGUG